AGAGUUUGAUCCUGGCUCAGGACGAACGCUGGCGGCGUGCCUAACACAUGCAAGUCGAACGGAGUUAAGCUCUUCGGAACUUGACUUAGUGGCGAACGGGUGAGUAACGCGUGAGGAACCUGCCUUUCAGUGGGGACAGCAGUUGGAAACGACUGCUAAUACCGCAUGACACUUUUGGGAGACAUCUCCUGGAAGUCAAAGCUUUAUGUGCUGAAAGAUGGCCUCGCGUCUGAUUAGCUAGUUGGUGAGGUAACGGCUCACCAAGGCGACGAUCAGUAGCCGGUCUGAGAGGAUGAACGGCCACAUUGGGACUGAGAUACGGCCCAGACUCCGUACGGGAGCA
rnacentral:rRNA from 1 species